UGCAGAGGGAAUGUGGAAUGUUCAGGA
rnacentral:piRNA from 1 species